UCCCUGGUAGUCCAGUGAGUAAGACUCUGUGCUUCCAAUGCAGGGGGCACAGGUUCAAUCCUUGGUCAGGGAA
rnacentral:tRNA from 1 species